CCACACCUGCACACAUACUCAUGCUCAGCCAGCAUGCUCCCCAAUUCCGUAAGUGGCUCCGGUCCUGGAUCUACUGGUUAGGCAGGAGAAAAGAUAGACCACAGCAAGGACUGCAGCUUUCCUGCCUGAUCUGUCCCUACCUUUCCUCCCUGGCCCUGCCUGUUACCCAGAGCUUCCACCCAACUCACUUGCUCACAUAUUAUGACCCAUCCAAUCUGCCUGCUGGCCAGGCCUUGGUUCAUCUUUGGCACCUCCUGGAAAGUGUCCUGUUUCCCUGCAGGAGGGAAUGCCUGGUUUGAGAGGGGCCUAUUCCAAUGGAGGGAAGGUCCCUACUUGCCUGCAGUAUCUCCUUCCUUCCUUCCUUCCUUCCUUCCUUCCUUCCUUCCUUCCUUCCCUCCUUCCUUCCUUCCUUCCUUCCUUCCUUCCUUCCUUCCUUCCUCUUAUCCCUCAAGUGUCCUGGAGGCCCCUCAGAAUGUACUUGCUCAGGGUUGCCCUGGGAAGUAGUCAGGGAGGCUCCAACCCCUUCUACUGCCCUUUCCCUGGCCCCAGCACAGCCAUGCUGCCACCUUAGAUAGGGCAACUGGCCCUAUCUCAUUGAGUGGUGGGCACCUUAACUGUCCCCACCACCAUCUCUUGACUUAAGAUAGGGACUGGAGCAGGUGGGGUGGAAAUAGAUUUCUUUGCGUGCUGAAUGAAAGGAAGAAGGAAUUACACCUUGGUUUUUUGCAAGCGGCUAGUUUCUAUCCCCUUUCAGUCCCUCAUAGUGGGCUCUGAGGUGCGGGCACACACAUACCUGGGAAGACUCUGGGAGCCUACCCCAAGCCAAGAUGUGGUGACCUGCAAUUUCUCUUCUUCCAAGGUACACUUGCCUGGGACUGAGAGGAUCUUAACCGUCCACCCCGGGAGCUCUGGACCCCAAAGCUGCCACUUGGAACAGCAAGCAGGUGCCUCUGCCAAACAGGGCCCUAGCAGCUCGCCCUCCACUGGAGCUUGGGAAGGACUUUUUCUUUUUAAUCAAGAAAUGGCUUGCUGAGGAAGAUGGCAGAUAUGUGUUUACACAUUUCAUUUCCCUCCUUGCCUCUUUGUAAAUACCCUUUUCCAAGCUGGAAAAUAAAUUUCCAACCCUGCUGA